rnacentral:rRNA from 1 species
GACGAACGCUGUCGGCGCGCCUAACACGUGCAAGUCGAACGGAGUUGCUGAAGCUGAAUUUUUCGGAAGGACGCAUUAGUAACUUAGUGGCGGACGGGUGAGUAACGCGUGAGUAACCUGCCUUUCAGAGGGGGAUAACGUUUGGAAACGAACGCUAAUACCGCAUAACAUAACGAGGUCGCAUGGCUUUGUUAUCAAAGGAGCAAUCCGCUGGAAGAUGGACUCGCGUCCAAUUAGCUAGUUGGUGAGGUAACGGCCCACCAAGGCAACGAUCAGUAGCCGACCUGAGAGGGUGAUCGGCCACAUUGGAACUGAGACACGGUCCAAACCCUUUCUUACG